UACGUAGGGUCCAAGCGUUAUCCGGAAUCACUGGGCGUAAAGCGUGCGUAGGCGGUUUGUUAAGUGAGAUGUGAAAUCGUGUGGCUCAACCAUAUCGUUGUGUCUCAUACUGGCAAACUAGAGGAUAGCAGAGGCAAGUGGAAUUACGAGUGUAGCAGUGAAAUGCGUAGAGAUUCGUAGGAACACCAAUGGCGAUGGCAGCUUGCUGGGCUAUUUCUGACGCUCAGGCACGAAAGCGUGGGGAGCGAACAGG
rnacentral:rRNA from 1 species